rnacentral:rRNA from 1 species
GGCGACCGGGUGAGUAACACGUGACUAACCUACCUCCGAGUGGGGAAUAACUCCGGGAAACCGGGGCUAAUACCGCAUAACAUCGCAAGAUCAAAGCAGCAAUGCGCUUGGAGAGGGGGUCGCGGCUGAUUAGCUCGUUGGCGGGGUAACGGCCCACCAAGGCGAAGAUCGGUAUCCGGCCUGAGAGGGCGCACGGACACACUGGAACUGAAACACGGUCCAGACUCCUACGGGAGGCAGCAGUGGGGAAUUUUGCGCAAUGGGGGAAACCCUGACGCAGCAACGCCGCGUGGAGGAUGAAGCCCUUUGGGGCGUAAACUCCUUUCGACUCGGACGAUAAUGACGGUACGAGUGGAAGAAGCACCGGCUAACUCUGUGCCAGCAGCCGCGG